rnacentral:sRNA from 1 species
CUUGAUUUUACUUUAGGUAACUUCUUCUCGAUAGCGCACGGCUCAUUCCCUAUGAGCCAUUCCCCUAAGCCCGGAACAAUUUGGAUUGGUUCCGGGCUUCUUUUA